GAUGAACGCUGGCGGCGUGCCUAAUACAUGCAAGUCGAGCGAACAGACGAGGAGCUUGCUCCUCUGACGUUAGCGGCGGACGGGUGAGUAACACGUGGAUAACCUACCUAUAAGACUGGGAUAACUUCGGGAAACCGGAGCUAAUACCGGAUAAUAUAUUGAACCGCAUGGUUCAAUAGUGAAAGACGGUUUUGCUGUCACUUAUAGCUGGAUCCGCGCCGCAUUAGCUAGUUGGUAAGGUAACGGCUUACCAAGGCAACGAUGCGUAGCCGACCUGAGAGGGUGAUCGGCCACACUGGAACUGAGACACGGUCCAGACUCCUUCGGGAGGCAGCAGUAGGGAAUCUUCCGCAAUGGGCGAAAGCUUGACGGAGCAACGCCGCGUGAGUGAUGAAGGUCUUCGGAUCGUAAAACUCUGUUAUUAGGGAAGAACAAAUGUGUAAGUAACUAUGCACGUCUUGACGGUACCUAAUCAGAAAGCCACGGCUAACUACGUG
rnacentral:rRNA from 1 species